GCCGGAGUGGCGAAAUGGUAGACGCAACAGGCUUAGGACCUGUCGGGAGCAAUCCCAUGCCGGUUCAAUUCCGGCCUCCGGCA
rnacentral:tRNA from 1 species